CGGUCUGGCAGUUGCCGUUGCCGUUGGAGUCGAAGGAGCAGCCGGUGCGAGCCCAGACGCGGCCGCCGGUGGUGCCGUCAGCCACGUUGAAGGUCCAGGACUGGCCCUGGUCGAGCUGGAUGCCGCCGCCGGGGGAGGCGGCGGCCCAGACGGUGUAGGAGCAUUGGUUGAUGACGUUGAAGGUGGAGGCGGCGGCGAGAGGGAGGAGGGCGAGGAGCAGGAGAGGGAGAGUGUUUUGUGUGGCCAUUUCUGGGGAGAAAAUGGAUUUAGAGUGUUGCUGUUGUUGUUGUUGUUGUUGUGAGUAGCUAAGAAGGGGGAGGGAGUGCAAUUUAUAGAUGAUUUGGCGAUGUUGCAUGGGGGAAUUUAUGCUUACGUUUUGAGAUGAAGAGGAAAAUUCAAAGAUUGCUGCGACCAAAGUGACUAAUUAAUUGGCCGUGAAUGUAGGGAUGUUGAUGUUUGGACUUAUUGCAUAACGCUUUUAUUCUCUCAUCAGAAAAUCUCUCUCUCUCUCUCUCUCUCUCUCUCUCUCUCUCUCUAUAUAUAUAUAUAUAUAUAUAUAUAUAAUUUUAAAAGGGAGAUAAUAUACUUUACUCUCUAAAUACCAAAAAAAUAUACACUUAAUUCUUUUCAAAAGAUCAAAAAAAUGUUGAAAAAAAUAGUGAUAUGACUAAAUACGCCUUCAUAUUAUUAUCACAAUUAUGUUUCCUCUUAAGAAAGUUAAGUGCAUACUUCUUUUUUAUUUAAGAGGUUAAAUAUUACCGAUGUAAGUUUUCGGAAGAAUCAAAUGCAUACUAUUUUUAUUCAAGGAGUUUAGUGCAAUAAUAUGUGAAAUGUUGAACAGGAUCAAGUAUAGUUUAGCCCAUACAUAAUUGCGUUUUGCUUCCCACAUAGAGUUGGUUGUUGCCUCAUUUUAGGGUUCACUUGACCUAUGUAGAGCUGGAGGAGAAAUUCUACUAUAUAUUUUCUUUAAAGGGGUAAUUAAAAUCUAUGCAUCUGUCUUUGGGUGUAAUUAGAGGAAGUAAUGUUGUGCUCACUUUCCAAAUUGCGGAGUAGAAUUAGAUGGUAAAAGCUACAUCAUUAGUGGAUCGACACAAAUUACAUAAGGAUAGUCCACUGUAAUUAGGGACUGUUUAAUUGUAUAUAAUUGCAAUUACGUGGCAAUGAUGUAUGGGUGGUAGAAGAGGAGGAGGAGGAGAAGGGAAAGAAAGCGGAAGGAGAAGGAGAGGAAGAAACGACGAGAUAGGAGAUGAACCAAAGCGGAAAAAAAAAAAAAAAAUGAACAAGCGAAAAAAGAAAAAGGAGAGAACUCAGCAUCGAUAUGAGGGGGGGGUGGGAGGAGACGAAUCGGAGCGGAAGGAAAAAAAAGAACGAGCGAAAAAAAGAAGAAACAAAAAAAAAUAAGGUUAUUUUGUCAGUUUACUAAAAAUUCGGACUGAAUUUGCAAGAUCCAAAAUAGUAAUUUAUUUUUAUAAAAUUUUAAAACUGGUGAAUUUUUUAUGCAAAUUGGCCUAAAUAUAAAGUUCUUUUGGGCUACUCCAAUAAGAAGUAUUGAACUACCUUUUGUAUUUCAAUUGCUGGAAAAACUAUGUUAGUAGUUAAGUUACCCAAGCAUUCUAGGAUUAUAUUUUGAAUAAAAUUUUAAUGAGAAGCUCCCCAGCAAGACAUUGUUGGAGAGUACUUGAUUCACUGCUACGUGUUAGUUUUAACUCUACCUAAAAAUUUAUUGGAUAAUUUUUUUUUAAAAAAUAAUUUUUUAGAUAGUGACAAAAUUGACACAUGAUUGUAGAUCGGAGCUCAUCAACGAGACGACGGUGUAGAGUUUCCUAAUAAAGGUUUUUCUAUUUUCAAAAAUAUUUUAUCAGUAAAGUUGGUCAAGAAACAGUGAUAAUUUUUUUAUUAAAAAUUCAAUACUGUCGUUUUUAUUAAGAGUAGAAGUUUUAAACUAAAAUUUAUGUGUUUUUUGGACCCACAGUAUCUCAUUUUGCUUUUCCACUAGUUCAAAACUUUUAUACUUUUUUGUCUGCUAAAUAGGGUUUUAUUUGAACAAGUAAGAGUUUGAAUGACAACCGCGAUAAUCAAUCAAUUAUAUCGUAAAGAGUCAUGAUCAUUUGAGCUGGCAUUUAAUUAUAAAAUUAGAUUAUAACACUUAUCUUUUAAAAGAUAGUUUAAAGACCUUAAGCAACAUAAGAGAGUAAACCUCAAUUAUUCAAUCUUUUUUCCUUUUUUUUUCCCAUAGAACUACAUACUUUUCCACAGGCAUUUAAAUGCUUAUUAAUUUCUAUCUUUUUUGUACCCUGAAAACGAAAAGGACAUAAUACACUUGCCUAACACUCAAUCAAUAUUCCACAAAAAUAAUCUUCCAAAAGUAUAAUGGAAUACUCCAUGACUGGCAACAUUUUAUAAAAAAAUUUUCCACAGUUCUUAAAUUAUGCAAUAAGCGAGCCUACUUCCUAUGGCACCCUUAGAAUUUACAAUAGUUUUAUGGCUAAAUUACAGAAAAUCCCCCUUGUAAUAAUCUGCUUUUUCACUUUUUUUCUCUAACAUUUAAAAACCUACACUUUGCCCUCCUGUAAAAUGAAAAAUGUUCACAGAGGGGUUACGGUAUGUAAAAUGACCAUUUUGCCCCUCACCAUUAUCGUCUUCUUCCCCAUCUUCCUCAGCCGCUCCUUCGUUCGGCCGCGAUUCCCACCUCAAUCGGCCGCGAUUUCUCUCCAUUUUCUUCUCCACCUGCUCCCCUUCUCCUCCUGCACCCUCGCCGCCCUCGAUUUCGGCGACAGUAGGAAAAACCGAGGUGGGCGACAGUAGGAGAAGGGCAAAGGCGGCGAAGGACGGCAAAGGGGAUGUGGGUAAGGGCGAGACAGUGGAGGACGGCGAGGCGGCUAGGCGGCGAGGCGGCGGCGAGGUGGCGAGCCGGAGGGAGGCGAAGCAACAGGAAGAUGGCGGAGGGGUAUUUUCGGCAUAAAAAUAUAUUUUUUAACGGAAUCCUAACGGUAGGGGGUAAAGUGCACAUUUUUUAUUUUACCGGAGGGCAAAAUGUAGGUUUUUAAAUAUCAGGGAGGGAAAGUGAAAAGGCGGGUUAUUACAAUGGAUUUUCUGUAAUUUAGCUUGGUUUUAUAUAUAAAGUAUAUAUAAUAUGACUAAAUCUCUCAAUCCGGCUAGAAUAUAUUUGACGAUGGUUUGAUCCAAAAAAUUAAGAAAAUUAAGUAUGAUAGAGUUAGAAUAGUUUUAGAAUAAACGACUCCUUGGCCUUGGAGAGCGAAGCGUCACACUUCCCAUGUUUAUGCAGUUAAUUAAUCCAAGUCACGUGAUUUAACUUAAAAUGGAACUUUGAAACUUCCUUAUCUUACUUGACAAGUUCCAGAAUCCUAAUUUCCAAGCACAUUUUCCACCACGAUUCUUAAAGACCAAUCAAUAAUUUCUCAAAUUUUUGGUACAUAUAUCAUUUGCCGUCACCUUUGACCGGCAUUUUCCGUCACCGAAUUUGACCUAAAAUAAGUCUAAGAAAUUUCCAACUAUAUCUGAAGUUCCAUUGUCAAAACAGGAGAAGAGAAACAUAAUAAUUUUCCAGGCAUAUUAGAUUUUCAAGAAUAUUCUCAUCACUUUCUUAAUAUUCUUCGUGUUAAAUAUAAAAAAAUAUAAACAUAGUUCUCUCACAGUUUAAGAUUUUAAAAUACAACGGUUGUUUUACAUAGUAUUAGAAAAGGUAUUAGAACAGGAGAUUCUGAGUUCGAAUCACAUCAGGCUCUUAGCAUUAUUAAUUUUUUCUCAUGUCCUUAGUUCAAGUCACGUCACACUCCUAAUAUUAUUAAUUUCUUUCUAUUUAAUUCAAGUUCACGUUACAAAUCUUGCAAAAAGUUUCGAGCCCAGACGUUAUUGAGAGUGCUAAAUAUAAACAUAUAUGAAUAUCGUUAUCUCAUAAUUUAAACUUUUAGGUAUCGUUUGGUUCGGUGAUAAGCAAAAAGUGGCUAUUUCAGGAAUAGGUAUAAAUUGAGGUAUAAGCGGGGAUUUGAUCAAUUUUGCGUUUGGAUGAAAAUUUAGUUACUCUUAGGGAUAAAAAAAAUAGCGUCUGGUUAGGUAAGAUAGAAUAAGAAAGAUAGUGAAUUUUUAUAAAUAAAAAAUAAUGAUAUUACCCUUUUAUUAUAUUUGAAUUUAAAUUUUUUGAUUUAUAUUUUUAAAUUUACAAUUUUAACUUUGAAAUUUUAAAUUUUGAAAUUACAAUUUAAAAUUUAAAAUCUCAAAUUUUAAAUUUUAAAUUUCAAACUUUAAAUUUAAGAUCAAAUUUAAAUUUGAAAAAUAUAAAAUAUCAAAUUUUAAAUUNAAUUGGGUUGGGAACAAUUAAUAAAAAUAAUUUUUUAUAAUAAAUUUAUAAUUUUUUUUUAAAAUUCUACUUAAACUUAAAUUUAAUAAAAAAAAUUUAUUAUAAUAUUUAAAAAUAAUUUAUUAUAAAAUUUAUUAUAAAAUUUAAAUAUAAAUAAUAUGUAUUAAUAUAGUGCAAUUAAUAAUUUUAUAAUAAAAAUAAUGAAUUAUAAUAUAUAAUAUAAUAUAUUUAUAUAAUUUAGUUUUAAUUCAAUUUAUAAUUUUAAUUAAGUUUGAAAUUAAGCAUUGAAAUAGUACUAUUCCACCAAAAUAGUGGAAUAGCAAAUCUCUUGCUAAUCCGGGAUAACCGGAAACAAGGACGAAGCUAUAUGGAGGCCCAAGGUGGCCAUGACCCCCCUCAACUUUUCAAUAUUUGUUUAAUGGUUCUUAAAAGUUUUUUUUUUUUUGUGAACCAUGGAUAGCUUUGGCCCCCCUAAUUUUUCAAUAUUUACUUAAUAGUAUGGUGCCAAUAUAACUCUCUCUCUCUCUUUUUCCUAAUUGGUAUACUCUUUUUAUGGGUGAAAAUAUAUUAAAAGCUUCUUGCUUAUAGAGUAUUUUCUAAUAUAUUUCUCUACUCUAAAAAUUUUAUUUGAUAUUUUUUUAAAAUUUUUAUUUAUCUUAGGUGAGCUUUUUUAUUUGACUAAAUCAAGAAUUGCACUAAAUUUAAUAGCCAUGUUAAUUUUAUUUACUAAAAAACUAAGAAAUUACUGUUAGAUUUAGCAAAAUUUCUAAAUUAUUUUUACUGUAAUAAUAUAAAUAAAAUAAUUAGAAGUUAAACAUAUGAAAAUAAAAAACAUAAAGUUCAUAUUUUUACAUUAUUUAUUUAAUUAAUAAUUUUUUAAUAAAAAAUUUUUAAAUAGAAAAAAUUUUGUUUAUUAUUUAUUACUAAAGUUUCUAUUUAAAUAUAUUUUGGCCCCCCCUCAAUAUUGAAUUCUAGUUUCGUCCCUGACUGGAAAUAGUAAGGUUUUGACCGGAAUAAAAUAUUCCGGUAAAAUAUUACUCCGUUUGGCAGGAUAGCAGGAAUAAUUUUCGUUAUGCCCGCUUAUCCCCGAACCAAACGGUGCCUUAGAUUAGAUAAUUCCAACACCCACUUCUGUAAGCUAACUCUUCUGUGGAUAAGCUUCUCCUUGAUCAGAAGAUCAACAUGAGUCGAGCUCAUAUCGAAUUUUGAUGAAAGCGAGAUACGAGUUGAACCGGAUUGUAAUUCAUACUACUAGGAAAACAGGAUUGCAUUAUCAUUAUCCAAGGGUGGAAUGCGCAGGAAAGGAAAACAAAUUCACCAUGUUUAUGUACAGUAGUAAAGCAUUCUCUACUGAAACUUCAUUAUCAUUUCUCAUUUGUCUCCUUCAAUUUACCAGUGUUUUUUUUUUUUUCCCCCAAUUUUUGGAUUGGCAUAAUUUCGUAGAACAGCAAACUGAUCCCCGGCUAUAUAUCGUCCAUGUCAUGUAACACUAAUGAUCGAUCAUUUCAUACUUCAAUUUGCUAAAGUGGAGAAAAAACACACAUCUAAUUAAAAGGCACAAAAACCAAAAGGGGAAAAGUAUAACCAUGCAUCCAACUCAAAAUAGCUCUGCGAAAACAAUAGACAAAAUUUGAGGCCUCACUUGGUCCGGAUAAUAUACGUACAAUAUACGUAUAGUAGUAUCUCUGAUCUAAGGGCAAAACACAAUCUGGUAAUUGGUGUUUCCAGGGCAAGCGAAAGUGGCGCUGUUAUCAUCGUAAGGAUAGCUGAAUGACUGAGGGCACUGGCUCUUGAAGUACUUGGAGUACUUCGUCGGGUUGCAGCUGCUCGGGGACGGGCAGCAGUACUCCGGCGUCCCGAAGAUCGUGCACGGGUCGCCGCACCCGCCGGGCACCUGCAGCUCUGCCGGGCACUGCGCAUUUACGUCGGCAGCGCAGCUCGGCCCCGACGUGCAGCCGUUCGACGUCGGCUUGAAGCUCAGCGGCACGUUGAACCCUGAAAACAAAGCGGUUUGUUCAUUCACAAAUUUGUACCGUAAAUUAAACACUGUUCUCUGAUAGUUUAAACUUAUAGAAUAAAAUCACCAUCCACCAGGGAGAUGUCAAAGUAGUCGAGGCCCCCAGGGUUGUUGAGAGAAUACUCGGUGAGAGUAUUGGGGCUCUGUCCGGAGCCGGUGCAGGCGAGGACGCCGCCGCAGUCGCCGGUCUGGCAGUGGCCAUUGCCGGUGGAGUUGAAGGUGCAUCCGGUGCGAGGCCAGACGCGGCCGCCGGUGGUGCCGUCAGGCACGUUGUAGGACCAGGACUGGCCCGGGUUGAGCUGGAUGCCGCCGCCGGGGGAGGCGGCGGCCCAGACGGUGUAGGAGCAAUUGUUGGCGACGUCGAAGGUGGAGGCGGCGGCGAGAGGGAGGAGGGCGAGGAGCAGGAGAGGGAGAGUGUUUUGUGCGGCCAUUUCUGGGAGCAAAAAGAUUUGUGUGUUGUUGUUGUUGUUGUUGUUGUUCCUUGUGGUGUUGUGCUGUGAGUAGGAAAGGGGGGAGUGGAAUUCACAAGAGGUUUCGGAGAGGUUGCGUAGGGUAAUUUAUGAUGACGUUUUGAGAUGAAGAGGAAAAUUCGAAGAUCACUAUGGCCGUGUGCGUAGGGAUGAUGUUUCAACUUAAUAUAUAUAUAAAGCAAAGCUUUUACUGGCUAAUCUAUUAUGAUCCAAUAGAUCUACAUUCUCCCGGUAAAAAUAAAAAAGUAAAUAAAAUACUUCUAUUCAAAUAACUAAUAAGCCGGUUUGAGAAAAAAAAAAAUUUUUUUUGAGAGAAAGAUGGCAUGCUAUUCUUUUUAUUUAUUUUAUUUAGGAAAUAAACUUAGCUAUAAAUAUGAAUUAACUAGGAUUCGAAUUUGGGUCUCGAGCACCAACCAACAAGCUCUUUUGUCACUUACGCUAGGAACGGUCGGUAAAAAAUAUAUUAAUACCAGUUCUGAUCCAGGUGGCAGUAAAGGGCGGAGGCGCGGACGCGGGCGCAGGCACGGGGCGCGAGCUGGCGCGGGCCGGCAAGCGGGCGGACGAGGGGCCGGCACGGACGUGAGCCGGCACGGACGUGAGCCGGCGCAGGCACUCGUGCGGGCUUGGGCGGGUUGGGUGAGCCCGGUGCGGGUGGGCCCAGCCCAUCUAUACCCGAGUCUAAAAUUAUACAGAGAGCUCUCAACUACAAAUUUAGGGUCAAUUAUACAGAGACCUCUCAACUAUAAAGUUACGACAUUAAAGUUACCGUCAAUUAUACAGAGAGCUCUCAACUAUAGCCGAGUCUAAAAUUGACUUUAGACUGCAUUAGUUUUUUUUUCUUUUUUUAAAAAAAUUUCUUAAAUUUUAUUUAGUUUAGAUUGCUAGUUUUAGGGGGGGGGAAGGAAAAAAAAAUCAACAAAACUAAAUAAAAUAAAAUAAUAUUGAAAAGUCUAUUUCAAAAUGGCCUAUAGUUGGAGGGUCUAGAUAUUUUAUAUACUAUACUUUAUAUACAACUAGUUAGAAAUUCGUGCUUUGCGACGAAAAAAAAAAAAAAAAAAUUACAAUAAAUAUACGCUAAUAAUUAUUAAAUAAUAAUAAUAAUAUAAUAAUUAUUUUAAAAAUAUUUUAUAUAUUAAAAAUUAUUAAAAUUAAAGCCACAAUAAAUAGUUCGCGUUACUUUGUAACAAUUUAAAACUGAUGGCGAACAAAAUAGUCUUUUCUUUCUUAGAAAAAAAGUAUUUUUUAGCAUAAAUGCAUCAAACACUUUUUUCCUUAUUUGCAAAUCAAUAAAGUAAUUUAGAAAAGGAAGCACAUAAAGAAUAGCGUGAGGAGAAGCGGAUACCGUGGUUUGUUCGAGACCAAACACGACCAAUCUUUCAGCGCGAUUCGACUUUCACGACCUCGCUUCCUCCCAUCAGCAAGCAAAAUCAUGGCGUAGGCGGGGUAAUGUGAUAGGAGCCGCGCUAGAAUUCUUGCUAUAUAUAUAUAUAUUUUUUUUUUGUGAGAGAGAGAUAGGCAGAUGCUUGAUGUUUGUAUAUUCAUUUAGAAAAAUACUUAGCUAAAAAUUGGAAUGAAUUAAGAUUCGAACUUAGAAUCUCGAGUAUCAACUAGAAUUUCUUACUGUAUUUGUGCAAAUUUGUGGGAUUUUGAAGAUUACAGAUGCAGAGAGAGAACCAUGGACCUGGAAGCGGCGGCCGAGCGGCGAUUAGAUCUGCAGGAGAGUGCUAACUCUAUCUAACAUAGGGAGAGAGAGAGAGAAGAGAGAGAGAGAGAGAGAGAGAGAAGAGGAGAAGUAUGGAGGAGGAGAAGUACGGGAAUAGUAGGAAAUUUGCUGAGGAAACCAUGGCUUCAGACAAAUUUAGGGGGAGAGAAGAAAAGGGGUGAGAAUAAGAGAGAGAGAGAGAGUAGAGCUAUGGGGGCGCACCUUCGAAUCCCGGACAGGUUUUGAAGCGUGUGACGGUUAAUCUUAUGUCAAAUAAAAAAAAAAAAAAAAUAUAUAUUAUAUUUAUAUAUAUAUAUAUAUUAUAUAUAUAUAUAUAGCGUAAAGCUAAUAUGCUAUCGAAAUAUAGAGAAUCUGGUGUGCUUUCGAUUUUUUAGCCCUUACAUCAUCCCCUUCAAUCAUUUUUUAAUUUUGGAUUAAUACUAUUAACCUGUGGUACACUCAACCUAGGGGGACUACUCAACCCGGGGGGACUGCAAUCAUCCCAACUAUAUAAUUUUUUAUCAAUGGUUAAAAAGUUGGAAGCAUCGUACUUUAUGCUUCCGAUAGCAUAGUAGCUUACACUAUAUAUUAUAUAUAUAGUAGGGCUAAAAUACUUGUAAAAGUAUCAUGGGGGUGAUACUUGUGUGUUUUAUAGCCUGUGAUAGAGAGAUUGUGAGGUUAAGAUGAUGGUGGUAUGUGGUGGCAGGUGGUGGUAGGUGUGGUAGGUAGAAUAGUGUUUAAUCCAAGAGGUAUUAAUAAUUCAAAAAAGUAGAUCCAAUGGCUUAAAACCUAAUAGCACCAUUGAGUGUACAUUGUAAAGUAUCAUAGCUCAACUCUAUUAUAUAAUAUAUAUAUAUAUAUAUAUAUAUAUAUAUAUAAUAAUAUAUAUAUAUUAUAUAUAUCCACUACUAUUGCUAUCAGUAGCACGGAGGCGCUUCCGUGCUACCAAGUUGUUUUCGAUGAUGCGGCUUCCAAAUCGACGAUCGGCUCCGUUAGACUUGAUCUACACUAUUGAAAGUAUUGGAAACUAAUUUCAAAUUUUUGGACAUCAUUUGACUAGUGAUCAAAAAACUCAAAAUUACAAUUUUAAUGGGCCGAUGUGGUGUGUUUGUGAGUUUAACGGUGUAAAACAAUCAAAUGCGAUGAAUAUUUUAUAGAAAAUUCUUUUCACUAUUUAGAGUAAGAUCAGUAUAUUUGAUCUUAAAUUUAAAUCUUUUAUCAUCAUUUUCAUGAGAUUUUUAUUUUUAGCCGUUCAAUUUAGACUAUUGUUUGAUAGGUAAAUGAUAUCGAAAUAUUAUGAAAUUUAGUUUCUAAAUACUUUCAAUAGUGUAAAUCAAGUUUAACGGAGCCCGAUCGUCAAUUUGGAAGCCGCAUCAUCGAAAAAACUUGGUAGCACGGAGUGCUCCGUGCUACCGAUAGUAUAGUAGCCUAGUUCUAUAUAUAUAUUAUAUAUAUAUAUAUAGAGAGAGAGAGAGAGAAUUUAGAGGCAAGAGAGAGAGAGAGUCCGGCUAUGGUGCUUGUAAAAGUACAUAACUAUUUGGUACUUGUAAGUUUUUUACCGUUAGAUCUACGUCUUUGAUUAUUUUCAACCGUAUAGAUUUACUAUUCACCAACUACCACUCAACCAUACGGGCCCACAUCAUCCUCACCGUAAUCCUUAAUCAAGGGCCGAAAACUUACAAGUACCAAUGAUUUUGGUACUUUUAAAAGCAUAGGAGUUUUAUUUAUUUUCUAAAAUUUUAAAUACCCUAAAUCAUAUUUAACGGAAUGGAUCGUCGAUUCAGAAGCAUCCAUAUCGAAAAACAAUAUGAUACGAGGGACUCAUAGCUCAUAAUAAUAGAAGUAGCCAGCUAUGCGACCUAAUAUAUAUAUAUAUAUAAUAAUUAUUAUAUAUAUAUAUAUAUAUAUAUAUUAGGCUGGGGCUCACUGUUAUAUUAUGAGUAUAGACCUCUUUGUACUCAUUAUUAUUUAAUAACCGUUGAUUUGAUGGGAUGUGUGGUUAGGAUGAUGGUGGUCCCCACUUAAAAUAAUAGUGGUCCCCUAGGGUUGAGUGGGUAGUUGGUUAAAUAGUAUGAUCUAACGGAUGAAAAUGAUUAAUGAAAUAAAUCUAAGGGCCGAAAACUUAUGAGUAUAAAGAAGCCAAUACUCAUAAAAGUAUAGUAGCCGGACUCUAUAUAUAUAUAUAUAUAUAUAUAUAUAUGGAGGUUGCUAAUAUAAAAAAUAUUUAAAUACCGUUCUUUAUCAAUUUAAAUUUUUAAAAUACAACGAUUAUUUCACAUGGCAUCAAAAUAGGAGGUUUUAAAUGCGAGUCAUAUCAGGCUCCUAAUAUUAUUAAUUUUUUUCAUUUAUUUCAAGUACACAUCCUAAAUUUAUAAACAGUCUCGAGCACCAUUUCCUAGGCAUACCAUAAUCCAAUGAGGAAAAAAAGCUUAAAUUUAGAACUUACACUCUAAUAAAUAGAAAGUACAGUUUCUUCUAGAAGCCGAACUAAUCAAGCAUUAGCAUACAUUUCCGAAAACAGACUUUAAUGGGAAGCUUCCCAAUGAGGCUUUAUUGGAGAGUUCUUAAUUUACUACCACAUGUUAGUAUAGGAAGGACACACUCAUAUAUUGCACAUAAGAGUUCAGUCACAGCGCUUAUGGAUUUCGAUCCGAUUCAACCUAUAUGAGCGUUAGGUCUAUUGUUGAGCCUCGGACACACUCAUAUAUUGCACAUAAGAGUUCAGCCACAGCGCUCAUGGAUUUCGAUCCGAUUCAACCUAUAUGAGCGUUAGGUCUAUUGUUGAGCCUUGCCAUUAGGUCUCUUAUGUACUGCACCUCCACUCAACUUAUUAUGCUCAUUCAACUCAACUUAUUAGUCUCCUGAAUUUAUUGUCACGGGGCAUGAUGUUGGACCUAUUUUAGCCCAAUAAUAAAUAGCUAACAAUUCCAAUUCAGAUUAUUUUGCUAAUGUUAAUUUUAGUGUAAUUGCAAGUCUCAUGUGAUGUACUUUCGUGCAGAGUGGUAGAUUUCAUCAAUCAAUCUUGUGUUCUUGUGCAUUACCUUGCAAUGAAAGUUACAUCUUUUAUGUAUCUGCCCUACGUAUAUAGUAGAUCGCUUGGCAUUUCAUGGAUGAAUCGAACCUCUUUGAUUGUGUUUUCUUUUAGGUGUCGUUUGGUUCGCAUUAUGAAAGAUUACUAGAAAUAAAAGAUAUCCGAAAAUCUUAUUCCUAUUCAUCUUAUUACUAAGAAUGUGGAAUUCCUGUGUUUGGUUCGCACGCUAAUAUUAAUUAGCCAUAUUAUUUAAUAUUACAAAAAAUAUACAAUUAAUUAAUUUAUUUAUUUAUUUAAUUUUAAAUAAUGUUACCAAAAGUUUAAACAUUUUUUUAAAAAAGAGAGAGAGAGUAUAAGUUAGAGAGAGAGAGCAUAAUUAAAAAAAUAGAAAGAAAAAUAUAUUCGAAAUGAGCAAUAAUAUUCUGUAAAAAGAGAUUAAAAAAGGAAAAAAAAUGAAAAAACAAAAUUGGGCGCCAAAAUUUGGAAUCAAUUUAUCAAUCAUUCUUUGCCGAGAAUUUAACAUGCCUUAAAAGUGAUAGAUCAAGCAAAUUACACCAUAUACUAUUGAAACAUGCCAAUUACUUUAUCAAACAAUACAUCAACCUAAACAGAAAAACUCGAAAAUGUUCAUUAGCUAGCGUGCACUGAUUUUCUAAAAAGGCCGACGAAAUGUUGCAGGAAUCGAGGUGUGUAGUGAAAUCGAUUACCCGCCGGAAUGGGAAACCGGUGAAGUUGUGAAUUGUCCAUCUCUGAAAGUAUGAACAAACUGUUGCGGCAGCGGAUGCUCAGCCUAUAAUUAGUUUAGGAAAGAAAAUUAAGCAGAAUCAGAAUAUAAUUUGUGUAGCAAAAAGAAAAUAAGUUGUCUUUGUUACUCAAAAUUACUAAAUAUUCAGUAUAAAUAGGAACAUAAAUGAAGGAUCAUUUAUGGCUUCUAAAUUUUGCUAAUAAACAGUACUGAAACUCUCUUACUUAUGACUGAAUGUGCGACUAAAUAUGGUACACCUCACAAAGCAUUCUCAAAUUUUGUUUUGUUUAUGUCCUGUUUUGUUCACUUAGAUUAAGAUCAACAAAAUAUCCGUAUCUCUGAGAAGAUUCUUAUGACAAACAACUUACCCAGUCACCAUCAGGGCCUGCACCAGAAACCAGAACAUUAACCUCACUUGAUUUAGCAAUUGUUAUAGAAGUCUCCAAUGAAUCUUUGCCCAGAUAAAGUUGGCAACCUGAUGUAUUGUCUAUUAAUAUUGUCGGCGCUGAGCCCUGAGAUUCAAGGGAGAAUAAACCCCAAAAUGGUAUGAUGAUAUCGGAGAUUUAAUCUAAAAUUAAUUGAAUACAAAUUGAGUGAGUGAAAUAAACAAACUUGUAUACCUCACAUUGCACCUCAACACUGUUGCAGUUCACAAUUUCACAAGCUGCAACUAUAUCCUGAGUUAAAAGAUCACACCACACUAAUUUGUCAUCACAAUACAUUAGAAUCUCAUCUAGCGGGAAAAUGUAAGCAAGAUUUUAUGCAUAAACACCAUAGUGAUCAUGCACUUACCUUAAAGAGGAUCCCCAUUUUAGUGCAUUUAUCUAUGGUUAUGUUGUUCACCUUUCCUGCAUAGAAUAAUAUGUGCAUGCAUAUACUCAAUUAGUUGUGGAAAAAAAUGAACUCUUCGGCGAAAUUUUAGCCACCAAGGAAUGGUAAUCAUAAAACGAAUAAAAUUACCCUUGACUUGCAAUACACUAUUUUUGCAUCCAUAAACAUAAACAGAUUGUUUUGCAUCACAAUCAUCAAUAACCAAGUUCUUUUCUCCAACCUGAUUCUCAACUGCCCAUCUGCCAAAGUACACAUAAUCUGGAUAGUUACACAAUUAUGUACAAAUAAUUUGAGCACAGUCUAAGAAGACAUAUUUUUCUUACUUGCGACCCAUUNUAGCUAAAAUUACCGACACUUUUAAAAAGUGUUGCUAUAUGUGGGGUCGCUAGGUAUAUAGUGACAGUUAAAGAGUGUCGCUAUAACCUAAAAGAGUGCUGCUAAUUUACAAACACUUAUUUAAGCAUUUAGCAACCGCCGAAACUCUAUCUCGUUGGCUCCGGUGGCGGAGGAGGACGACAGGAAAGGCUCUUCGUCUAGAAUUUUAGUAGAUUGAGAGAAGAAAGAAGAAAAGAUGGUAAUUAAUUUUUUUUUUUUUCUUUUUUAUUUGUAAUCGGGCCAAAUGGACUGUGUGUGGUAGGUUGAGUAGAGUAAUCUUUAAUUUUUGGUUGGAUUGGGCUUUAUAUUUAGGCAUUAGUAGAUAUUUUUUUAAGUUUUAGCAUAAAUGGGACACUUACUCAAAAGUGUCCCAAACAUGUGUCCCUAUAACCUAAUUCUGGUGUAGUGUAUAUAUAUAUAUAUAUAUAAACCAAAUUANUAGUUGAAGAGUCUGGUUGUUUUGAUGGCUUAUUUUUUGGGUAAUAUUGGUUCUGUCAAUGACCAUUUUAUUUACAAUAUAAUCACUGCUGCAAUAUUUUUCUUUUUAAUGAAUUGCUACUUUAAGUAAUGCUAUGGGAGAAGUGCUGUGCCAAGAUCCUCGAUCCUUCAGCCUUUUCAUGUAAGGCGAAGUUAAAAGAGCUUCUAUUUUUGAAGCACAGAAUCUUAUUUUUCAUUCAGCUUCUUAAUUACUAUAGUAGAAGCUCACAUAAUAAAUGAGAAAAUGUUGUGAUUAUAUUUUGUAUCCAACCAAAUGGAUUAAUUAGGCUUAGUAUUACUUUUAUUUCAAACUAUAAUCCCCAUGGAAGGAGCUUCCACAAAGUAGCCACCUUCUCUUAUACAAUACAAUUACUUUAUUCCACAAUAUGCUUUAUUCCACACACAUACAAUACGUAGGCAUAUGUGUGCAUGUGUGUAUAUAUAUAUAUAUAUAUAUAUAUAUAUAUAUAUAUAUCUAUGAGACAAUAUACGUAUAGUAGCUAGUAGCUAGUAUCUGUGAUCUGUGGGCAAAACACAACCUGGUAGUUGGUGUUUCCAGGGCAAGUGAAAGUGGUGCCGGCGUAAUCGUCAGGAUAGCUGAAUGCCUGAGGGCACUGGCCCUUGAAGAACUUGGAGUACCCCGUCGGGUUGCAGCUGCUCCCGGACGGGCAGCAGUACUCCGGCGUCCCGAAGAUCGUGCACGGGUCGUCGCACCCGCCGGGCACCCGCAGCGCCGCCGGGCAGCUCGCAUUUAUGUCGGCGGCGCAGCUCGGCCCCGACGUGCAGCCGUUCGACGUCGGCUUGAAGCUCAACGGCACGUUGAACCCUGAAAACAAAGCGGCCGGUUACGUUCAUUCACAAAUUUGUACUGUAAAUUAAUUGAAUAAUGUUUUCUGAUAGCGUAAGCUUAUAGAAUGAAAAUACCAGCCACGAGGGAGAUGUCAAAGUAGUCGAGGCCCCCAGACUGGUUGAGAGCAUACUCGGCGAGAGUAUUGGGGUUCUGUCCGUAGCCGGUGCAGGCGAGGACGCCGCCGCAGUCGCCGGUCUGGCAGUGGCCGUUGCCGUUGGAAUCGAAGGAGCAGCCGGUGCGAGCCCAGACGCGGCCGCCGGUGGUGCCGUCAGCCACGUUGAAGGUCCAGGACUGACCUGGGUUGAGCUGGGCGCCGCCGCCGGGGGAGGCGGCGCCCCAGACGGUGUAGGAGCAACGGUUGACGACGUUGAAGGUCGAGGCGGCGGCGAGAGGGACGAGGGCGAGGAGCAGGAGAGGGAGAGUGGUUUGUGUGGCCAUUUUUGAGGAGAAAAUGGAUUUAGAGUGUUGUUGUUGUUGUUGUUGUUAAGUGUGGUGUUGUGUGUAGGAAAGGAGGGGGGGAAGAGGGAGUGCAAUUUAUAGAGGUUUCGGAGAGGUCGCAUGGGGGAAGUUGUGCGGACGUUUUGAGAUUAAGAGGAAAAUUCAAAUAUUACGUACUAUGAACAAUGUGGCUAGUUAAUUGGCCGCGUAUGUAGGGAUGUUGAUGUUUCGACUUAUGCGUAACGCUUGUAUUCUCUUCUCACCAAGAAAAAAUAUAUGUUUAAGUCUAACAGGGAGAGAAUAUAUUUUACUCUCUAGAUACCAAAUAAAUAUUCCCAAGAGAUAAAAAAUUUUAUUAGAUUAUUGUGUCAAAAAAAAAAAAUCUUGACUAAAUGCACCUUCAUAUUAUUACUUUUUUUUUAUUCCUUCUUAAGAUAGUUAAGUGUAUUAUUUUUUCUUUUCAUUAAUUGCACUAUGUGAAGGCGAGUUCCAAGUUUCUUUCUCUAAAGUCCAGAUGGAGCAUUAAAUGCGUCUGUUGCCCCUCUUCCUCGGGAGUCGGGAGCCACGCCAUCCUUCGCAUCCCCGGCCCCUGCUGUCCUCGCACCCCCUGAUGGAAAAACUUCCUCGGGCCCCACUUUUGUACUCGGACUGGAGCUCAACCAGUUGUGUACUUGUGUUGGGACCUCUCUAUUCUCCGAUGCGGACCGGGCCCCUCACCGAGCCCAACUACGCUCCGGCUCCAUCUUCUCUUUCCCUCCCGGUUCCGACCCAGUUGGCCAUUCGGCUCAGCUCCCGGCCCAUCGGGGCUGCGUUAUGGGCUACCCUACUUCGCAGUCCAGCGCAGGCCAUGGGUUGCGCUAGUAUUACACGCUGCCUAUGCUGUUUCUUUGAAAAAAUUUUAAAAUGCAACGGUAUAUUGAUGACGUGACGUAACAAAUCAAUCAAAAAAAUUCUUUUAGAAAUAUAUGUCCCAUCGUGAUUAUAAAAAAUAUUUUUAUUGUAUUUUUGUUUGAAAAGAAAAAAGGUGAUUGAUUUGUUAUUGAUGACGUGGUGCAAGUGUGAUAGUUUAGAAUUUCUCGUUUCUUUGCGCCAGUCUCGAUUGGAGCGAUCGCCACGUCGCCGACGCCUCUCCCGCUCCCGCUUCUCUGACGGAGUCUCCUUCCAUUAACAAGCACCCUCCAUCCGACCUCUCCAUUAAAGAAGUCGCGACCGCUCCCAGUGUCAGCAGGCGAAAGUAAUAUAAUCGGGCGAGACGACGACUUAUAAACAAAAUAAAAUGACAAAAUUGGUGCAAUUAAAGAAUCAGGUGAUUCAUCUACCGUACCGUCUUUAUGAGGGCAAGCAAAUGAAUGUAGAAAGCUUUUUAAAAACACUUCAUUGGAAAGCCUUCAAUUUAUUGUCUCAUGCAAAAAUAUAAUAUUUUUUAAAAAAUUAUAAGUUAUAUGAAUUUCUGAACGAGAAAUCUCGACCGGUUGCAUAAAAAUUAUAAGUUAUAUAUAUAAAUUUCUGACGAAUCAAUAACAUCGCUUUGGACCGACCGUUCUUAGAGCAAGUGGCAAAUGGCUCGGUGGUUGGUAUUUGAAAUUCCAAAUUCGAAUUUUAAUUGAUUCACAUUUCCAGCUAAAUUUAUUUCUAUAUAAAAUAAAUGAAGCGUGUAUUGUGCUAUCUAUCUCUUAAAAAAAAAAAUAAAAUAAAAAACAUCGCUUUGGCUUUAUCAUUGAAAAACCGAAGUUCAUAAAAGUAACGGCUGACCCACACUGUUUUCUCUGACUCCCAUAAAUAAAGCAAACCUAUCAAUUGCUAGGUCAACGUUGACCCAGGAAAAACGUAGCCGUUGUAAAAGUUGAUUUUAAAAGAUGGCGGGAACGGCCUGUGGAGUUAUAUAAACCAAAUUAUUUGAAGAGUCUGGUUGUUUUGAUGGCUUAUUUUUUGGAUUUUGGUUCUGUGGAACAUUCAAUGAACAUUUAUUACAAUUUAAAUCACUACUACAAUUUUUUUUUUUCCCUUUCAAUUUAAACAACCAACUUUGUCUCUCUAUCUCUCUCAAAAAAAAAUUUUUUGUCUCUCUAUAGUCAACCGAAAAGUCAAAUGUGAAAAAAAUAUUUAUAGAGUGUUCUAUUAUUUGAUUAAUUGUUCUUUUAAGUAGUGCUACGGGAGGAGCCCGUAUUUUUAAGUUAAAAAAGCUUUUACUUUAUUUAGAGCAUGAAAUUUUAUUUUUUAUUCAGUUUUUUGUUGCAGCAGCCCACAUAAUAAAUGAGAAAAUGUUGUAACUAUGUAUAUUUCCUAUCCAACCAAAUGAAUCAGGCGUAUUACUUUUAUUUCAAACUAAACAAUCCCCAUGGAAGGAGCUUCUACAGAGUAGCCACCUUCUCUUACACAAUUACUUUAUUCCACAAUGCUUUAUUCAAGACGCAUACAAUACGUAGGCAUACGUCCAUGUAUAGAUACCGCUAUACGUAUAGUAGUAUAUAACUGUGAUCUAAGGGCAAAACACAACCUGGUAGUUGGUGUUUCCAGGGCAAGUGAAAGUGGUGCCGUCGUAAUCGUCAGGAUAGCUGAAAGCCUGAGGGCACUGGCCCUUGAAGUACUCGGAGUACUGCGUCGGGUUGCAGCUGCUCCCGGACGGGCAGCAGUACUCCGGCGCCCCGAAGAUCGUGCACGGGUCAUCGCACCCGCCGGGCACCUGCAGCGGCGCCGGGCAGUUCGCAUUUACGUUGGCGGCGCAGCUCGGCCCCGACGUGCAACCAUUCGACGUCGGCGUGAAGCUCAGCGGCACGUUGAACCCUGAUAACAAAGCGGUUCGUUCAUUCACAAAUUUGUACCGUAAAUUAAAUACUGUUUAAUUCUAAUAGUUUAAGCUUAUAGAAUAAAAGUACCAGCCACGAGGGAGAUGUCAAAGUAGUCGAGGCCCCCAGACUGGUCGAGAGAAUACUCGGCGAGAGUAUUGGGGUUCUGUCCGUAGCCGGUGCAGGCGAGGACGCCGCCGCAGUCGCCGGUCUGGCAGUUGCCGUUGCCGUUGGAGUCGAAGGAGCAGCCGGUGCGAGCCCAGACGCGGCCACCGGUGGUGCCGUCAGCCACGUUGAAGGUCCAGGACUGGCCCUGGUCGAGCUGGAUGCCGCCGCCGGGGGAGGCGGCGGCCCAGACGGUGUAGGAGCAUUGGUUGAUGACGUUGAAGGUCGAGGCGGCGGCGAGAGGGAGGAGGGCGAGGAGCAGGAGAGGGAGAGUGUUUUGUGUGGCCAUUUCUGGGGAGAAAAUGGAUUCAAAGUGUUGUUGUUGUUGUUGUUGUUGUUGU
rnacentral:lncRNA from 1 species